rnacentral:lncRNA from 1 species
UCCACAUUGGCCAUUGAGUCUUGGGAGUGGGAAGACAGAGUAAAAGGUCCUGGACUAAAGCACAAAGUUCAUUUUUAUGAAAGGAUCCAUGGAUGACUGUAACACAAGUGAACUAUGAUGAUUGUUGCCUUAACAGAUCCUGCUAAUUGAAUGAGAAUUCUAUUUGCACUGGGAAAUGUUCUGUAGGAAACACUCUGCUUGCUGAAAAUUCAUGGCCAAUGGGCCACACACGGAGCCCCACUGAACAGUUCCCACAGUAGAGCCUGUUGUAUUCUUUCUCAGAACUAAAACCAAAAGUUCAGAACAUCCCCAUUCACGGAAAAUAAUUACCCAAUCUAAUUAAAUACUUUGGAAA